AAGAGGGACUUCAUUGAAGAAUCAUGCGCGGUCAGAUGCUUUUCAACAUGCUUUACCACUCAAUACAAUUACCCUAACGCAAGUAAUCGAUCCAUCAAUUGAAGUUCCUAGAAAAACACUUAUAACAGUAUUUUAAAGAAUAACACUUUUAUCCUCCACAUCCGGGAAUCGACGUCACAGACUGGUAUAAAAGCCUCAGUCCGACGCAGCAUCCUCAUUAAAGAGAAGCAGCGUCCGUGGGCAGCCUCCUCUUCCUCCUCCUCCUCCUCCUCCUUCUGGCCAAAUUACUGCAAACAAAGAGAGAAUGUCCAAAAUGACGAUCGUUCAGCUUGGAGUGAUUUUGUUCACCAUAUGUUUAUCAACACAGGUGGUUUCCAUGGCCAACACAACAGCGUGGAACUCCACCCUCAACACAAACGCCACCACCACGGCGACAAGCAUCCACAGCAGUUCGGCCAACACUACCCUACCGGUUGGACGGGGCAUCUCGCUGCACGCGGGCACCGUCUCCUUCCUGAUCCCUGUCGUCACGGCAGCCGCUGUCCUUCAGCACUAUUGCUAAAGGCUCGGGCUCCACAGACCCCCCCACCCCACCCCAUUACUCGGCCUCAAGCCUCCACCUCAUCUUAUCUUCCCACCCACUCCAAACCUCACUCCUCUCCUCUUCAGCGCACCGCACGGGGGGACCACAAGGCUAACAUGGAUGGACUCUAAACCCCCCCCCCCACCCCCAUGAAUUCAUUAUAGAAAAAUCUAUAAAUCAGGACAUUUCUUUUAAUAAGGGCGGGUUCAACCGCCGACUGGAGAUCAUCACCAAACCCCCUUCAGCCCCUUUGCAUGGAAUCAGAAGGAAUGGUGGUUAGCCCAGCUUCCCUUUUGGCCUGCGUUUCCAUAGUUACGUCAUUGAAUUUUGGAGAUGAUCAGGGUUGCGGUUGUCAUAUCACAUGUCUUGAUUGAAAUGCGGACCACUUGAGUGUACAGAGGUUCUAUUCGUGGCUUUAAAUAGACUUAUCAAUCAAUAAUAUUUUUGUCUGUGAAGUUGAGUUUGGCACACACAGUAGAGGUUUCCUUCAAGAAAGUUUAAGCCAGAUGAAAUUUAAGUCAAGUUCUUUCAUAAUUUCGGUCUUUUCAUUAGAAUUGUCUAAGAAAUGUUUGUAGCAAAUGAGUUGCCACAAGACUUGUGUCAGUUUGGCCUUGUGACGAGUAAAGAGUUGCGGUCUUUUACAAUGAGGGUUUUAAUGACACCUUUCCCUCCUUCAACCCUGGGUUAGACCCAGGGAGUGGCUCUAUGUAUAUUAUAACCAUAUGGGAAGGGUUGAUGUUAGAUUUAUAUUCCCCCCUUGUAGUUUAUAUUUUGUAAAAAUUGAAAUGUUGUACUGGUGAAUAGUUUGGGUAUAAAAUAAUGGAAGAAAUUAAAAUGUACAAUAAAUUAUGAAAAAUUA